UUGGUUCCGUAGAUCAGUGUUCGACAAAGCCAUAACGUAUUUGACUCAACAACUUAUGCUAUUAUAACGCAUCUGUGUAGGUGUUCAACACUGGCAACAGGGUGAUAUUGACUCUACGAGUUGUCGAAAUAGCCAGUAAGACUAUCGUGCUACUUGAUUCUGCAUGCUGCAACUAGACCAAGAAGAGACAGCAAUUGGAUCAACUCACUCAAAACAGCAAGGAUGUAUAUCGUUACUGGACUGAAUUUUGUUCAGCACAUAGAUGGAAAAUACAACAUUUUAAGAUUCACAGUUACUUUUGUGAGUUCAGCUCAACCAGCUAAG